CCUGGAUGAGUUUCCUCCAACAGUUUCAGAAGAAACCACAGGGAGCAACAAGUCCACUGCCGGGUGGUCUCACCCAGGUGAGGACGGGGGACUGCAGGAGGACCCGGAACCAUCCAGCUCAGGAUCCUGUGGGUCAGAGAGGUGGUGAAAGAGAAGUCACGUGCUGAACUGAAAAGUGAGCCAACAGGUGAUCCUCUGGAGGACAUGGAUUACUGGCGCGCAGUCGGAUCCUUGUGGAUUUAGUCUGAGACGCGCGCGCAGGUGGACCCUGGUCCUCCGGCUCCAUGGGGAACCAGGUGGACAAGCUGACCCGGUUAAGUUACGCCGAAGUUCCGACGUCGGAGCCGAACUGCUUGGACCCGGAUGACGGCGCGCGGAUCGGGGUCUCCUACAUCUUCUCCGCCGACGACGACCAGGACGACCGGGACGAGCCGGACCUCCCAGCCCCGGACAGGUCGGCUGUGGACCACGAGGAGAAACCCUUCGACCCGCAGGACGAGCCGGAGUGCGUGAUCUACUACCGGGACGAGUGCGUGUACGAGAGGCGCGCCCGAGCCGCGACCCUGUCCCCGGAGAGCCUCCUGGCCAAGUCCAGACCGGGAGACCUGCUGGAGUUCGUGGCCACAGGACAGUACCCGCACUGGGCCGUUUAUGUGGGGGACUUUCAGGUGGUCCACCUGCACCGGGCCGAGGUGAGGAACAACUUCCUGACGGACGUGAGUCAGGGCCGGAGGGGCCGGAUCGUCAACGACCUGUACCGGUACCACCGGGCGCUGCCGCCGGAGGUGGUGGUGCGCAACGCGCUGGACCAGGUGGGCUCCGCGGACCGGGACCUGCUCUGGAGGAACUCCGAGUGCUUCGCCGCCUGGUGCCGGUUCGGCAGGAGGGAGUUUAAGAUCGGCGGCGAGAUCCGGAUCGGAAAGCAGCCGUACAAGUUAAAACUGGUCUUCUCCGAGAAGAAGAGCCACGUCCUGGAGUUCCAGUGCCUGGAGGACGUGGUCCUGGAGAAGAGGAGGAACGACCAGAUCGGCAGACGGGCUGUGAUGCAGGAGCUGGACAACCACCUGAGCUCCACUCAGGAGAUCCAGGAGGCUCGGUUCGGGAACUGAAGGUGGAGGAGUUUAGUCCAGGAGGUUUCUACUGAUAUGCAAUUCUGAAAUGUCUGAAAGUGUUUGUCCCCGUUAAACUCAGGUGUUGGAGACGUCUUCAAGGUGAAAAAGAGACAACUUGUUGCUCUUGUUGAGUUCCUUUCUGUUUUUAAUCCACUCUUCUCCCGGAUUAAUCUGUGGAUUUUAGUCCAAGCCAUGACUCUUCCCCUUUAAUGAUUCACUACUUUCAACAGUUUAUUUUUUGGAUGAUAAAGAUGUUUGUAUGAAGGCUA